rnacentral:rRNA from 1 species
ACGGGUGGUAAUGCCGGAUGUUCCACAUGAUCGCAUGUGAUUGUGGGAAAGAUUCUAUCGGCGUGGGAUGGGGUCGCGUCCUAUCAGCUUGUUGGUGAGGUAACGGCUCACCAAGGCUUCGACGGGUAGCCGGCCUGAGAGGGCGACCGGCCACAUUGGGACUGAGAUACGGCCCAGACUCCUACGGGAGGCAGCAGUGGGGAAUAUUGCACAAUGGGCGCAAGCCUGAUGCAGCGACGCCGCGUGAGGGAUGGAGGCCUUCGGGUUGUAAACCUCUUUUGUUUGGGAGCAAGCCUUCGGGUGAGUGUACCUUUCGAAUAAGCGCCGGCUAACUACGUGCCAGCAGCCGCGGUAAUACGUAGGGCGCAAGCGUUAUCCGGAUUUAUUGGGCGUAAAGGGCUCGUAGGCGGCUCGUCGCGUCCGGUGUGAAAGUCCAUCGCUUAACGGUGGAUCUGCGCCGGGUACGGGCGGGCUGGAGUGCGGUAGGGGAGACUGGAAUUCCCGGUGUAACGGUGGAAUGUGUAGAUAUCGGGAAA